rnacentral:lncRNA from 1 species
GUUUCCCAGUUCUCAGUCUAAAUGAGAAGGAAAUUAGAAGACCUGAAUCCCAAUGGUUGUUACCCAUCAGGUCCUGAAUUGGCCACUUCAUUCCCUUGAAGUGAAAAUAGAGUCUCUACCAACUGAAGAUGGGAAGGAUGAUGAAAUGAUAGAAACAGCAAUCCAAGAAUACAGAGAAAGAAAUUAGAAAGGAACAAAUAAAUGUUAAGAGGAGUUUUAAUGAAGAAAUGCUGUACUCAAUACUAUCGAGAGACAUUACCGUUUCUUUCAUGUUUGAACUCAUUUUGUGUUUGUAUCAUGAUCUGACAUUUCCCUCCAAUUUUCUCAUCCCACUGGCAGCAAGCCAAAAAAAAAAAUAGAAAUAAUUGAGAGGCAGAAAUCACGUCCUACUUCAUCUCCAUAAGAAGGGAGAAAUAGGAGAAGGUGAGCCAUUUCCAUGAUAGAGGUAAAUGAUUUAGAAAAAAUAUGUUGGUAUACCUCUCUGAUCUUACUAGAACAAAACAAGAGGGAUUCAGUUUCUUUUGAUACUUCUGGUCUUGGGAGUACAUACGGAGAAUGCUGCUCUGCAGAACUCAAGUCUAAAGAGGUCCUUUUCUGGGACAUUUAAAACAAACAACAACAAGCCCUUGCCACGCUCCUAGACUACUGCCUCACCAGGAUGGAGCUCUUAUGCAUUAUACAUGUUAAACAUCUCCUAUUCAGAGCUAACUUUGACUUUGUGCCCUGGGCCAGGUGAAAAGACUUUUCCAAACAAGAAAGAGUAAGGAAAAAAACAAAAAAAGAAAAACAACAACAACAACAACAAAACAAAAUACAAGAAGCAAACCAUAAACUGACAUUUCUUUAAGAAGAGGUUUCUGUGGCCAGCAUUGUUGUGACCUAAAAAAAUAGUUUUCUUUACCAUCAUUUACAAAAAUGCUUAAGGAAAAGUGGGGAAAAGAGUUCUUUUAUGGACUAUUUUAUCCUUUUUUUGUCCUCUCUUGCAGUCGACUUUUUGGCAAAAUACUGCAUCUUCAGCCAGGAGAAGUUGGCAAAGUACAAAAGGGCUUUUGAAGCGCCCCAGGGGUGCCCUGAGCAUUGCUGUGCUCCCUUGGGCACUGCACCAAUGGGACCUCGGAUCUGGCCCUCACUCUCUGUGUCAUAACAUCUCCUCUGUGAGCUGCUCGGGCAGGCUUUUGAAGACUCUGACUUUGCUGGUAAGAAAUCGGUGUCUAAUUCCCAGAUUACAUUUGUUUUCCUGCCAGCAUUGCCUGUUAGUUUACCUUUUUUCCUAUUUCCUCCAGUUUACCUUGAAGGUAUACACUAAGGCAGCUGUUCUCCAGCUCAUCCAUGGUUUUGCAAGGCUGAUUGAAGCAAGCCCCAUCAAUCUCCUGGCCUUGCUGUGCCAGGCUGAGCAUCUCCUCCUGCACUGGAGUGCAGCAUGGGCAGAGGAGCAGGGUGGGCAGGGCAGUGGCCUGGCUGGCAAGGGCCCUGUCCCAGAGCAGGUCUGCUGGCAGUCCCCAUACUCAGACACAGUCCAGUGGCUGCAGACACAUCCAGAGCAGAGAGGCAGGUCUGAGGUCAAGCCAAGAAUUCGGUCUGCAGGUCAGGGUCAACAGUGUAGCUCAAGCAGGGUCCAAGGGUGAGUCUCAGAGCUUAAAUGCAGCUCUUGGGCCAAUGGGUCGAGGCCCCAACUGGGCUCCUUGCAGUUCUUUCCAUGCAGUCUGAUCAGCAAGUUCACCCAGCCACGCUGUGUCAGGCCCUGACAGUUGGAAGGGGGUAACCAGAGCUACAGCCAUCACGACACAUCAGGUCUUUCCACUGCUACUUACUACUGAUUCUCUGCUGGAAGUACCCCCCCAACAGACCUUACAUCACAUUGUUCAUAUCCACGUCAUAUUGCUGGCUCAUAGCUAUCUCUUGCUUGGCCAUUCUCACAUGAAAUUCCACCUUCUAUGUCAUCUGUAUUUGCUGUGUCCCUAUCCAGCAGCAGAAAUUCCUAUUAUUAAUCCUGAAACAGGGCCCUGUGGACUUUCAUCUCAACUUUGCCCCUCCAGUCAUCAGUAACUCCCAGUGCUGUAAGAAACAGAUCAUUCUCUGGUGCUUUUUAACCUUUUGCCAAGUGAAUGACUGCUUGUCCUGCCAGCUGUUUGCUAACCUGAAUCUGGUACUGCUGGUCUGCAGGAGGGAAGGGGUUACAGGACUCUUUCAUCUUGUAAAUAUUUCUGACUUUGAUAAAUCUGAACACACUGUGACAAAAGAUUGCCUGCUUUCUUCUGUUUCCAUGUCCUUCCAUGUCCUUCUUUUUUUUUUUUUUUUUUUCUUGUCAUAGAAUCAUAGAAUGGUUUGAGUAAGGAUGGAAUAAUUAUAAUUGUGGGAUUUGAUUUUCUUUCAGAAUUUUGUAUCUGGAAUUGAACUUGGAUGCCAAUUCUUGUCAUUGGGACUGUGCUUUUAAGAAAUGGUGUUGCUAAGUGAGAGUAGUCUCUUUUAUGUUACGGCAGGAACACUUUGUUUUGCUGUAUUUUGAGUAACAAGGGGGUUUUGCCUUGCUGUAGAGAUGAAAGGCCCUUUAACAGAUGUGCAAAAAUAUCACAGUUUGGUUUAAUAAACAAAUCUUUCAGGAAAACA